GGACCCGCACAAGUAGUGGAGCAUGUGGUUUAAUUCGAAGAUACGCGCAGAACCUUACCAACACUUGACAUGUUCGUCGCGACUCUAAGAGAUUAGAGUUUUCGGUUCGGCCGGACGAAACACAGGUGCUGCAUGGCUGUCGUCAGCUCGUGUCGUGAGAUGUUGGGUUAAGUCCCGCAACGAGCGCAACCCUCACUUUUAGUUGCCAUCAUUUAGUUGGGCACUCUGAAAGAACUGCCAGUGAUAAGCUGGAGGAAGGUGGGGAUGACGUCAAGUCCUCAUGGCCCUUACGUGUUGGGCUACACACGUGCUACAAUGGUAUUUACAACAGGAAGCAAGAUGGCGACAUUAAGCAAAUCCUAAAAAGAUACCUCAGUUCGGAUUGCACUCUGCAACUCGAGUGCAUGAAGUUGGAAUUACUAGUAAUCGU
rnacentral:rRNA from 1 species